GAUGAACGCUAGCGGCAGGCUUAAUACAUGCAAGUCGUGGGGCAGCAGGUUUGUAGCAAUACAGAUGCUGGCGACCGGCAAACGGGUGCGGAACACGUACGCAACCUCCCUCCUUCUGGAAGAUAGCCCACCGAAAGGUGGAUUAAUACUCCAUAAUAUAUUGAAGUGGCAUCACUUUAAUAUUAAAGCUCCGGCGGAAAGAGAUGGGCGUGCGUCUGAUUAGGUAGUUGGCGGGGUAACGGCCCACCAAGCCUGCGAUCAGUAGCUGAUGUGAGAGCAUGAUCAGCCACACGGGCACUGAGACACGGGCCCGACUCCUACGGGAGGCAGCAGUAAGGAAUAUUGGUCAAUGGACGCAAGUCUGAACCAGCCAUGCCGCGUGGAGGAUGAAGGCCCUCUGGGUUGUAAACUUCUUUUCUCUGGGACGAAACCCCCGAUUUCCAUCGGGCCUGACGGUACCAGAGGAAUAAGCACCGGCUAACUCCGUGCCAGCAGCCGCGGUAAUACGGAGGGUGCAAGCGUUAUCCGGAUUCACUGGGUUUAAAGGGUGCGUAGGUGGGCAAGUAAGUCAGUGGUGAAAUCUCUGGGCUUAACCCGGAAACUGCCAUUGAUACUAUUUGUCUUGAAUUCUCUGGAGGUAAGCGGAAUAUGUCAU
rnacentral:rRNA from 1 species